rnacentral:rRNA from 1 species
UACAGAGGUGGCAAGCGUUGUUCGGAAUUACUGGGCGUAAAGGGCGCGUAGGCGGUUUCGUAAGUCCUGUGUGAAAUCCCCCGGCUCAACUGGGGAACUGCACAGGAAACUGCGAGGCUUGAGUUCGGGAGAGGGAAGCGGAAUUCCGGGUGUAGCGGUGAAAUGCGUAGAUAUCCGGAGGAACACCGGUGGCGAAGGCGGCUUCCUGGACCGACACUGACGCUGAGGCGCGAAAGCCAGGGGAGCAAACGGG